AAUAACAUUAUUCGUAUUAAAUUAAAAACGAUUUUUCUUUAUUUUUUGUAAUAAUUUGACGUUAUAGGUUAUGUUGUUGCUAUUUAUUAAUGACGAAAAUGCCCGAUAUGUUGGGGCUUCAACAUAAUCUUUUCUACUUUUCCAUAUCGAAAUUGUCUGGAGUGAGGUUAUGGUAUCAUGAAAAUCAAUUAAAAUAACAAAUUGGACAAAACUAAAGACAGGAAUUUAUUAUUUUAUUGAUAACGCAUUUACAUUAUGAGCUAGAUAAGAGGAAGUUACGAUUUAUUCAUUUAUAACAAACUUGUGUACAUUUCAAACAAAACCUGGAUUUUUACUUUUUCUAAUUGGCAAAUUGUUAUAAAACACUUUUUACUCUACUUUGUGAGGUACUUUUAUUUAAAUAAAUAAACUUACCACUU